ensembl:lncRNA
GGAGGUGAUGCCUUACAGUUUAUUAAUGUGGCAUUUCCUCCUUGCCUCUAGGCUGGGUUCCAAAGUCCCCAUGGCAGCUGAAGACUGUCUCCCCCCUUUUCUCUCCCACCCUGCUGUAUCUGCUGGAGAGCAGUCACUUUUAAUCACAACUUUGCUCACACUCUCUCUGCCACCUUCCAUCCUGGUUAAGAGUUGGCGGGUGAAGUUGCCACAAAACAUCACAUCAGCAGUUUACAGAAAGUUCCCCAGCACCUCACAACUGAAAAUACCCUCUCAGCAUCAAACAGCCUCCCCAUACUGUGUUGGGGUCUUUGCCUCCACCCUCCAAUGUGCUAUGGAUCUUCUCCCUGGAUCUCAGCCCUGGCGGUUUUCUGGCAAUGCCAGCAUUAGGCAGGUAACACAGGAACCACUGAGCCAAUAAACAAUGUCUUGGCUUCCUUUUUGGACAAUGGAAGGGAAAAUACCUACAGUGGCUGGAAAAAAUAGCAAAUUAUAUUUUAAUAUGUGAUCUCCCAAGUAGCAGCCAUUCAAUUAAGGUUUUUAAAAGUCCUCCAAGUGUGCUAAUGAGGCUAAAAUAAGACAUUCUGAAUUCACAUCCAUUUUAGUUCUCAAUUUUAACCAAGAUCUGGUUUUCUUUCUGCUUUUCUCUGGAAGAGAAGUAAAAUCUUAACAAGGUCAAGGUCCCAGAUUUCUACUUCUGGCCAGUUCCUGAAUCCUAGACCAGGGAGUCUAGUCAAAUGGCUAUAAAAUUAGGUUAAAGAAAGUGAGUGAAGCCCCUUGGGCUUGGGGGAGGGUGGCAAGGGAAGAGGAGGUUAGGGAGGCCCUGAAACCUAGAGUGCAUGAUCUCUGGAUGAGGGCUCCUUAGGGCCAGGCUGAACACAGGCCUCAAGCGAGGCCAGAAAUCAGGACUGUAUGUGACAUUAGUUACCAUUUAUCCAGUUGUCUUUUAAAAGCUGAUGGUCAGAAUGGUACAGGGUGAAGGAAGCGCAUUAGAGGCGGCGGCAAUGGGGAGGGGCAGGAGCCACCAGAUGGAGACCUUUACCUCUACCAAGAUCCUAGUCUUUGAAUCGACUAGGUGCUGGCCCCAGCCUUGCAGCCUUGCAAUACUGCCCUGUUCCUCUGGCUGGAGGGAGAGGCCCUUACAGAGGGG